CUGACUGGGAGCAUGAGGAGGCCCUGUAGCCUGCCGCAGUCAGAACAAGAGCACCGAGACUUACAUCAUAAUGCAGAUCUCUCCGCUGGCUGAUAGCUCCCCGGGCAAAAAGAAAACCUUGCCAGAAAAGCGGAAGCUCCCCUAAAGCCUCCCAUGCCCCUUCAUCUCUUCAGAAGUCACGUGGACCACGACUAAUAACCUGUGGACUGGCUUAGCUAUCAUAUCUCUAUCAUUUACACGUAUUUAUCUAUCUCUGUGUAUCUAACACCUUAUGUAAAGAGAGUAUGUAUCUGUUGGCGUCUUUUGCUCAAUAUGGUUUAUGUAAUUCAUAUUUUUGCAAAUAUCUAUAAUUCAUUUUCA